rnacentral:rRNA from 1 species
GAUGAACGCUGGCGGCGUGCUUAAUACAUGUAAGUCGAACGAGGAGUUUUGCUUCGGUAAAUCUCCGAGUGGCGAACGGGUGAGUAACGCGUUGGUGACCUGCCCCGAAGUGGGGGAUAACGGCUCGAAAGGGCUGCUAAUACCCCAUGUGGUCGUAGAGGUUAGAUACUUUACGUCUAAAGGAGUAAUUCGCUUCGGGAUGGGCCUGCGUCCCAUCAGCUAGUUGGUAGGGUAAUGGCCUACCAAGGCGACGACGGGUAGGGGGCCUCAGGGGGUGACCCCCCACAUUGGCACUGAAACACGGGCCAAACACCUACGGGUGGCAGCAGUAGGGAAUAUUGCACAAUGAGCGAAAGCUUGAUGCAGCAACGCCGCGUGCGCGAUGACGGCCUUCGGGUUGUAAAGCGCUUUUCGGGGAGAUGAGGAAGGUACUAUACGAAUAAGCACCGGCUAACUCCGUGCCAGCCGCCGCAGUAAGAC